GAUGAACGCUGGCGGCGUGCCUAAUACAUGCAAGUCGAGCGAACAGAUGAGGAGCUUGCUCCUCUGACGUUAGCGGCGGACGGGUGAGUAACACGUGGAUAACCUACCUAUAAGACUGGGAUAACUUCGGGAAACCGGAGCUAAUACCGGAUAAUAUAUUGAACCGCAUGGUUCAAUAGUGAAAGACGGUUUUGCUGUCACUUAUAGAUGGAUCCGCGCCGCAUUAGCUAGUUGGUACGGUAACGGCUUACCAAGGCAACGAUGCGUAGCCGACCUGAGAGGGGGAUCGGCCAAACGGGAACGGGGACACGGUCCAGACGCCUACGGGAGGCAGCAGUAGGGAAUCUUCCGCAAUGGGCGAAAGCCUGACGGAGCAACGCCGCGGGAGUGAUGAAGGUCUUCGGAUCGUAAAACCCUGUUAUUAGGGAAGAACAAAUGUGUAAGUAACGACGCACGUCUUGACGGUACCUAAUCAGAAAGCCACGGCGAACUACGU
rnacentral:rRNA from 1 species